GUGUUAACUCCUUCUGUGUGUCUCUCUCAUUGACAUCCCGCUCUGCAGAAAGGACGGCUGUGUUUCUGUGGAUAAAGAACCUUUCACACAGAAAGCCUCGUGAGAUCAAGAUGAAGAUGUUGCUGUUUCUGCUUCUCCUGGGAAUAGUAGGCCCACACUGCACAUCUGCACGGACUCACUCUCUGAAGUAUUUCUACACUGGGUCCUCUGGAGUCCCAAACUUCCCAGAGUUUGUCACCGUUGGAUUGGUUGAUGAAGUUCCGAUAUCUCACUACGACAGCAACACCAAGAGAGUCGAACCCAAACAGGACUGGAUGAACAAAAUCACAGCAGAGGAUCCUGAGUACUGGGAGAGGCAGACUGAGCUCCGUAUGGAUUCCCAGUUGGCCUUCAAAGUCAACAUUGAAACUGCAAAGCAGCGCUUCAACCUAACAGGAGGUGUCCACAUUCUCCAGAGGAUGUACGGCUGUGAUUGGGAUGAUCAGACUGGUGAGGUCAAAGGUUAUGAUCACUAUGGUUUUGAUGGAGAAGACUUCAUGAUACUGGACCUGGAGACAGACUCAUGGAUCACUCCAACACCAGAGGCUGUCCUCAGCAAACACAGGGGGGGAGAGAACAAACCUAAUAUGGACCAGUGGAAGUACCUCUCCCAGUGGUGUCCUGAGUAUCUGAAGAAGUAUGUGCACCUUGGGAGGAGCUUUCUGAUGAGAACAGAGAUCCCCUCAGUGUCUCUGCUCCAGAAGUCCCCCUCCUCUCCAGUCAGCUGCCACGCUUCAGGUUUCUACCCGGACAGAGCCGCCAUGUUCUGGACCAGAGACGGAGAGGAGCUUCACGACAACGUGGACCACGGAGAGAUCCUGCCCAACCACGACGGAUCCUUCCAGAUGAGCGUGGACCUGGACGUCUCCUCAUUCCCCGCUGAACACUGGGACAAGUACCGAUGUGUGUUCCAGCUCUCUGGGGUGAAGGAGGACCACGUCAUCGUACUGGACCCAGCUGUGAUCAGGACCAACAGAAGGAAUCCCCUCCUCCUCCUCCUCUUCAUCGGUGCUGCUCUCUUCAUCGCUCUCCUCAUCGCUGGGAUUGUAUUCCUGGUUUACAGGAAGAGGAACGCCAAUAGAAACAACUUCCGGCAGCUCUGAGACUGAACCAGCCGGCAGAGUGAGAGGAUGUGAGGUCCACCCACAAAUACAAAUAUUUGUCUCUUGAAUUGGUUUUAAAACAUAAUAGUGUUUGUGAUUUUGAUAAUGUUGCUAUUAUUUAGGGACAGGGAGGUUUUGUGUACAGAGCCAGCGGACUGUGACGUUCUACAUACUUUAGUUUGGGGCUAAGAGGUGAACGUGACAUGAAGUCGCUCUGCAUUGUUAACCCUUUCCUGUCCGUGUUUCACUUUCCAAUAAAAACCCAUCUCCCAAA